rnacentral:rRNA from 1 species
UUCGACGGCCAAAGUGGUGGAGCUACACCCGGACUCAUCCCGAACCCGGAAGUUAAGACCACUCACGUUCUGCCCAGUACCGUGAUGGGUGACCUCACGGGAGAGGUAGCCCCUUGGUAA